CUCCUGAUAGCUCAGUUGGAAGAGCAUACGACUGUAGAUCGUAGGGUCGGUGGUUCGAAUCCAUCUCAGGAGA
rnacentral:tRNA from 2 species